GGGAGGAGGGGAAGAGGAGGUGCAAGCGCUAACACUCUUCGCAACUGGGCUGAAGCUCGACUGCGAGCACGAGUUCUGGCGGCCGCCCUGCCGGCCGGAGGGCGUGCGGGAGCCCCACGGGGAGCGGAGGGCAGGCGCCCGUUCCGUGCCGCCGCCUCGCCGCGGCCCGGGGACCCGAGGGGUCAACGAAGGGCCGGGCCUGGCACCGACGCAGGCUCGCGGGGCGGUGGACGGCGGCGUGCCUCGAACAGGAAGUGCGCGGCGUGCGGCGCGCCCUCCCGCUCCGCCCGCCGACCCCCGCCGCCCCCUGCGGCCGCGGCGGCGCGGGACUCGCUCCGAGAUGAUUCCUGACUCAUGUCGUCCCCCAGUGUCUGUUUAUGCCUCACCCCCUGAAACACGCACACGCGCCCUGUGCCCCGCAGACCCGGCCGCGGCGGAAGCGCGGGUUUCUGUGGGAUGCGCGCUGACCCGCACGUGCUUCUCGGAAAACCGCGGCGCGGGGCCCUUCCCCCCGGCGUGCGGACCUGAAUGCGCAAUGAGAGCGGGCGGAGUGCGGGUUUUCACCCCCACCCCGCCGUACCCCACCCCACCCGGCUUUGCUUAGGUUCACCAGGGGAUCGGCGGUAAGUGUCGGGCGCGGAGUCAGCAACCCAGCGCCGCCGUGAACGCGGGGUUCCUAAGACUGCGGAAGAAAAGGUGGAGGAGAGGGCGGUAAACCCCGCGCGAGUCCCCCAAGUGCUGCAACGGUCUCAGCCACCGCGUUGCCCGUCUGGCACCGCCCGUAGCCAAGGGCCAGUGGGGCGUUCUCCCAGGUGGCGGUGCGCCCCCCACCCGCCGAGGUGGGCCCCAGGAUGGCGCGACCCUCACCCCCCAGCCCCCUGCCUGCCUGGCUGGGAGUAAGGUGAGUGCUCGGUCGGGAGUCGCCUCCGCUCCUGCUCUAGGUUCUGAGGAUAGAGUGGCCCCCAAAGUCACUCGAACAACCUGAAUGCUGACGUCAGCGCUGCUGCUCCCCGGAAUCGGUGGGGCGGGGAGGCCACCCGAGAAAGAACGGGACACAGGUCGCUUUGGGAACGCCCUGGGGUCUGUGAGGAGGUGGCCUUCACUCUUGUCCAGGUGCGGAGAUAUGCACAGUUCUCUCCUGGGGAGAAGGGUGAGCCCGCUUUCAGGGCCGCCCCUUAGGCGGUGCCCCCCACCCAGCCAGGAGGAACCCUGGUUCAGCCAUCUUUCCUGUUUCCCUCUCCCGUCUGAGUUCCUGCGGUCUGGGUGGUGCCGCGGUUUAGAGGGGUGGGUUUCUGGUGGGUUUGCCUUCCUCCUCCUCCCGGCUCUCCAGCCCAGAAUGGAGCCAGACUGAAGACCCUCCUGGUCCCGGAGUAGUGCUUUCUGGACAGAAGGUCGCAGUGCUCUGGAGGGGACCGCACCUGGCUUCAAAAACCCAGUGGCCAUCCCUGCCCCACAGAUUGCUCUUCACCCAUAACACCAGUUGACCAUGAGGCAGUCGCGAUCAUGGAAUCUAAGAAGUACUUUGGAUUAAGUUCUGAGCUUUGAACGUGCCAGAAGCAGACAGAGGAACUCUGGGAAAUUUGGAACACGUACCACUGUUAUCUGACGAUGGCUCAUGACUGACUUCCUGACCUCUCACCCGUCUAUUUCAGACGUGAUUAAAUAUUGCACAUUAAUUGUAGUAAUUUCCCAACGAAUAAAAUUACUUUGGUUGUUAGACUGGGCCCAAAGUUCAUAUAUUGCCGUUCAAACUGAACGUGAACUUGUACGGGAGGGCGCUUACCAGCACCGUCGUUACCAUCCCUCUGUGUGACUUGCAGCUGAUGUCCAGACCGGGCCUUGAGAAUGCCAGUUACAGAGACUUCCCUGACGGUCCAGUGAUUAAGACUCCGCGCUUCCACUGCAGGGGGCAUGGGUUCGAUCCCUGGUCAGGGAACUAAGAUCCCGCAUGCUGUGUGGUGUGGCCAAAGGAAAAAAAAGUGCUGAAAGGUAUACUUAAAAAAAAAAAGAAUGCCAGUUACAGCUUUUCAACAAGAUUCCAGAAAAAAUAUAUUUACAGUUCCUAGGGAUUGGCCACGUUUGGGGAGCAGGGCACCAGGUCAUGUCCUGGAUUUGUAGGUGUGUACAGACUUGGACCUGCUGACCUCUGAGCCCCAUUGAACAUGCACGGUUGUCAUCCCGGCUCUCAGAGUGUCCCUCCCACGAGGGCCCAGCCACACCCAGAGUUAAACCCAUGCUCGACCUUGCUAGCCUCUAUUCCCGUCCUUGUACCUUAGCACUUUAUACUGUAAUUGAUAAGUGCCCAUUUGGUGCACAGACAGAGCCCACAAGAGGCUCCGUUCAAGGGCUCUGGACGGACAGGCAGUAGGCUCUCAAGGACAUAGUGGUUUUUGACAACCCUCCCUGUGCCAUGUGGGUCAGAACAGCACUUUGUAAAAUGUUCCUAAAUAUAACUCCUAAGAAUUGCAUGAGCUCUUGGGAGAGGAUGGGGAGAGAGAGAUUUUCUGACUAAAACGCUGUGCGUCAGCUCAUUUUAGUUCAUUGCAACACACACUCCCAAGAGCAUCACAGUGCCGGAGGCCCGGCUUGUUUUUCCUCUCCCCGCUCAUUGUGGCUCUUUACCCUCUAGGUCAAAAAAUAAGGUGUAAUUACAGUGUUCAUUGUUCUUUGACCAGCCUGAGAGAACAUUUUCCUGCCAUUGUAGCGUAUUCACCCAUGGUCCAGGACUUCCCAGCAUCUGGUGGAGGUGGGUGCACCAGCUUCUCCCAAAGCCCUGGCAUGCAGUGCAGGCUUGGGGCAGUGCGGGCUCACAGCCAAGACUCCAGGGCACACACGCUGAGGCCGACGCAUUGUCUGUGACUCUCGUGGUUAGAAGGCCAGGAGAGCAGCUCUUUGUAGCCGAGCUUCAAGGAGACCCUACAUCUCCAUAGGACAGGAUCGCUGGUUCCAAAUCUUUUGUUUAUCGUUGCAAGUCUAAGAACGGAUACAGCUAGAGCAUUGUGUUGUUUAAUCACUCCUUCACCAGGGACUGAUUUUUCAGCCUGUCUGGAGACUUGCUCUUUCUAGUGGGGGUGCUCUUUGGGGGGUCAUUGCCUCUGCUCUCAGAUGUUUGUUGUCCUGCCUGCUCUGUGUUGCCAGGAACUGCAGUCCCAGGAUCUUUGGCCAACUGGUGUCUGGCCAGGUUUGGCCAGUGGGAGACAGUCGGGGAGAUGGGGGUCUGGAGGAGUGGAAGAGGAAGGACCCCAGGGAUUUCGUCUUCCCUUGUUUCUCCUGGGGCAGCAUCUUGCAGUGUUUCUUUCCCCUGUGGCUCCCACUCCACCAGACAGACCCUCCCUCCGCGGGCCCAGCUUCUGCCAGGCCGCCCCGACUAGGGCUCUGACCCUGAACAUUUGAGCAGAAAUCUGGUGGCUCUGAGGGGCUGAACGAGGUGCAGAGCUGGGGAGGAGGCUGCUAGGAAGGGUCUGGAGGGCAGUGUGGCCAGAGGUGGCAAGAGGACAGGUGGACUAGUGUUUGGGGACUUUUAUCUGAGUGAGAUGGGAUAAUGUCAACUAGAAGAAGGACAAGAUUGAGUUUGAGUUUUUAAGGGUCAGCCCGGCCGUCACGUGUACAGGUUGUAGAGUGAAAGUAGGGAGCCGGGCAGCAUAGUGCAGAGCUAUCGCUGCCAUUCAAGCCAGAGACGACUGUGGCUCCGACCACGGCGGGAGCGGCAGGGUGGUGAGUAGUUGCUUCCAAAUCUAUUUUGAAGACAGAAUCCCCAGAAUUGCGGUAGAUUGGAUGUGGGGGUCUGAGAGAAAAGAGUGCCCUGUGUGGCUCUGAGGUUUUGGGCCUGAGCAAGUGGAACGAUCCCGUCUCCCGGGAGGGGCUGGGAGGUAGAGAGUCUGCUUUUGGCUGUAGUGAAUCUGAGAUGCCUGUAGGACACCCAGACACCUGAGGGAAAAUCCCAGAGCGACAGGGGAGACAUCUGGCUGGAGAUAUGCAUUUGGAAGUCAUCGACCAAAGGCUGGCAUUUCAAGCCAUGAAACGCGAAGAGAGCCAGGUACGAGUGUAGACGGCAAAGAGAAGGUGUCAGGACUGCACCAGUGACCCCACCCCGGGUAGAAGUUGGGGAGGUAAGGAGGAGUGAGCAAAGGGUCCAUGAAGGAGCAGCCGUGAAUUAGGAAGACAGCCAGGAGAGGUGGAUCCAGAGACCACCAGACGAGUGUCUGGGGAGGGAAGGAGUCGUAGGUGCUCUGUGAGUGACAAGAGUAUUCAGGAUGACUGCAGGUGCACACGGCUAUAUUUAAAGUGGAUAACCAACAAGGACCUACUGUCUAGCGCCGGGGACCCUGCCCAAUAUUCUGUAAUAACCUA